CCAGACUCCUACGGGAGGCAGCAGUGGGGAAUAUUGCACAAUGGGGGAAACCCUGAUGCAGCGACGCCGCGUGAAGGACGAAGUAUUUCGGUACGUAAACUUCUAUCAGCAGGGAAGAAAAUGACGGUACCUGACCAAGAAGCCCCGGCUAACUACGUGCCAGCAGCCGCGGUAAUACGUAGGGGGCAAGCGUUAUCCGGAUUUACUGGGUGUAAAGGGAGCGUAGACGGCCAUGCAAGUCUGAUGUGAAAACCCGGGGCUCAACCCCGGGACUGCAUUGGAAACUGUGCGGCUGGAGUGUCGGAGAGGCAAGUGGAAUUCCUAGUGUAGCGGUGAAAUGCGUAGAUAUUAGGAGGAACACCGGUGGCGAAGGCGGCUUACUGGACUGUAACUGACGUUGAGGCUCGAAAGCGUGGGGAGCAAACAGGAUUAGAUACCCCAGUA
rnacentral:rRNA from 1 species